rnacentral:rRNA from 1 species
CCUACGGGGCGCAGCAGUGGGGAAUAUUGGACAAUGGGCGAAAGCCUGAUCCAGCCAUGCCGCGUGUGUGAAGAAGGCCUUCGGGUUGUAAAGCACUUUCAGUGGGGAAGAAAGCCUUGGGGCUAAUACCCUCGAGGAAGGACAUCACCCACAGAAGAAGCACCGGCUAACUCCGUGCCAGCAGCCGCGGUAAUACGGAGGGUGCGAGCGUUAAUCGGAAUUACUGGGCGUAAAGCGCGCGUAGGCGGUCUGAUAAGCCGGUUGUGAAAGCCCCGGGCUCAACCUGGGAACGGCAUCCGGAACUGUCAGGCUAGAGUGCAGGAGAGGAAGGUAGAAUUCCCGGUGUAGCGGUGAAAUGCGUAGAGAUCGGGAGGAAUACCAGUGGCGAAGGCGGCCUUCUGGACUGACACUGACGCUGAGGUGCGAAAGCGUGGGUAGCAAACAGGAUUAGAUACCCUAGUAGC